UCUUGAUUUGGUGGAUGGUGGUGCAUGGCCGUUCUUAGUUGGUGGAGUGAUUUGUCUGGUUAAUUCCGAUAACGAACGAGACUCUAGCCUAUUAAAUAACACACAGAAUCUUGUCUUCUGUGGCGUUUCUUAAUGGGAUCAAGUGUGUUUAACGCUUUGAAACAGAGCAAUAACAGGUCUGUGAUGCCCUUAGAUGUUCGGGGCCGCACGCGCGCUACAUUGAGAGACAAAAUGAGUUUUCUAUUCUUUAAUAAGAUUAGUAAUCUUUGAAUGUUUUUCUUAAU
rnacentral:rRNA from 1 species